UGGGGAAUUUUGGACAAUGGGGGAAACCCUGAUCCAGCCAUCCCGCGUGUGCGAUGAAGGCCUUCGGGUUGUAAAGCACUUUUGGCAGGAAAGAAACGUCAUGGGUUAAUACCCCGUGAAACUGACGGUACCUGCAGAAUAAGCACCGGCUAACUACGUGCCAGCAGCCGCGGUAAUACGUAGGGUGCAAGCGUUAAUCGGAAUUACUGGGCGUAUAGCGUGCGCAGGCGGUUCGGAAAGAAAGAUGUGAAAUCCCAGAGCUCAACUUUGGAACUGCAUUUUUAACUACCGGGCUAGAGUGUGUCAGAGGGAGGUGGAAUUCCGCGUGUAGCAGUGAAAUGCGUAGAUAUGCGGAGGAACACCGAUGGCGAAGGCAGCCUCCUGGGAUAACACUGACGCUCAUGCACGAAAGCGUGGGGAGCAAACAGG
rnacentral:rRNA from 1 species